rnacentral:rRNA from 1 species
UACAGAGGUCUCAAGCGUUGUUCGGAUUCAUUGGGCGUAAAGGGUGCGUAGGCGGCGCGGUAAGUCGGGUGUGAAACCCCGGGGCUCAACCCCGGAACUGCAUCCGAUACUGCGUGGCUAAAGGUAGGUAGGGGAGAUCGGAAUUCCUGGUGUAGCGGUGAAAUGCGCAGAUAUCAGGAGGAACACCGGUGGCGAAGGCGGAUCUCUGGGCCUUACCUGACGCUCAGGAACGAAAGCUAGGGGAGCGAACAGG